rnacentral:rRNA from 1 species
UACUAGAGUAGCACUCGCAUAUCAAUAAGCGGAGGAAAAGAAACUAACAAGGAUUCCCCUAGUAACGGCGAGUGAAGCGGGAAGAGCUCAAAUUUGAAAUCUUAAAGGGUUUCCCUUUACGAAUUGUAGUUUAAAGAAGUGUUUUCUGUUGAGGUUUUGGUAAAAGUUCUUUGGAAUAGGACAUCAUAGAGGGUGAGAAUCCCGUAUUUGACCUUUACUUUCAACUUUGUGAUACACUUUCAAAGAGUCGGAUUGUUUGGGAAUGCAGUCCAAAAUGGGUGGUAAAUUUCAUCUAAAGCUAAAUAUUGGCGAGAGACCGAUAGCGAACAAGUACCGUGAGGGAAAGAUGAAAAGAACUUUGAAAAGAGAGUUAAACAGUACGUGAAAUUGUCAAAAGGGAAGCGUUUGACACCAGUGUUGUUUUUCUGAAAAUCAAUUAAAGAACUGUUUAUGCUAAGUUGUUUAGACUUUAUCAGCUAACUGUUUAGUUUUGAGCUUUUCUUUAAUGCACUUUUCAGUUAACAAGUCAACAUCAAUUUCUUUUGCUGUAAAAAAGCUUGAGGAAGGUGGCUUGAGAUUCGUCUUAAGUGUUUAUAGCCUCUUGCCUGUGCAGUCGGAGAGAUUGAGGUCUGCAGCGUAGAUCCUUCGGGGCUAAAUGCAUUUGUGCUAAGUUAUAGCAUUUUAUAGACAACUUGUUGACUAUGAUUUGUCUUGUAGCUUACUCGCUUAUGUUAUUUUACCUACGCUUAGGAUGUUGAGCGCAUGUCUCUCUCU